rnacentral:tRNA from 1 species
CGGGGUGUAGCUCAAUUGGUAGAGUGCUUCGUUCGGGACGAAGAGGUUCCGAGUUCAAGUCUCGGCACCCCGACCA